rnacentral:rRNA from 1 species
GAUGAACGCUAGCUACAGGCUUAACACAUGCAAGUCGAGGGACCGGCGCACGGGUGAGUAACACGUAUCCAACCUGCCCUUUACUCGGGGAUAGCCUUUCGAAAGAAAGAUUAAUACCCGAUAUAAAGGAUGGGGAUGCGUUCCAUUAGGUUGGUGGUGAGGUAACGGCUCACCAAGCCUUCGAUGGAUAGGGGUUCUAAGAGGAAGGGACCCCACAUUGGAACUGAGACACAGUCCAAAAUCCGACGGGAGGGAGCAGUGAGGAAUAUUGGUCAAUGGGCGCUAGCCUGAACCAGCCAAGUAGCGUGAAGGAUGAAUGCUUAUGGGUCGUAAACUUCUGAUAGAUAAGAAGAUGUAUUAUAUGAAUAAGGAUCGGCUAACUCCGUGCCAGCAGCCGCGGUAAUUC